UCCGAACGGAGAGUUCGAUCCUGGCUCAGGAUGAACGCUGGCGGCGCGCCUAACACAUGCAAGUCGAACGGCCGGACCCACCUCGGUGGGCGA
rnacentral:rRNA from 1 species